UACGGAGGAUGCAAGCGUUAUCCGGAAUGAUUGGGCGUAAAGCGUCCGCAGGUGGCUAUGUAAGUCUGCUGUUAAAGAGUGAGGCUCAACCUCAUAAGAGCAGUGGAAACUACAUGGCUAGAGUGCGUUCGGGGCAGAGGGAAUUCCUGGUGUAGCGGUGAAAUGCGUAGAUAUCAGGAAGAACACCGGUGGCGAAAGCGAUCUGCUAGGCCGCAACUGACACUGAGGGACGAAAGCUAGGGGAGCGAAUGGG
rnacentral:rRNA from 1 species